rnacentral:rRNA from 1 species
AUUGAACGCUGGCGGCAGGCCUAACACAUGCAAGUCGAGCGGAUGAAGGGAGCUUGCUCCUGGAUUCAGCGGCGGACGGGUGAGUAAUUCCUAGGAAUCUGCCUGGUAGUGGGGGAUAACGUCCGGAAACGGGCGCUAAUACCGCAUACGUCCUGAGGGAGAAAGUGGGGGAUCUUCGGACCUCACGCUAUCAGAUGAGCCUAGGUCGGAUUAGCUAGUUGGUGGGGUAAAGGCCUACCAAGGCGACGAUCCGUAACUGGUCUGAGAGGAUGAUCAGUCACACUGGAACUGAGACACGGUCCAGACUCCUACGGGAGGCAGCAGUGGGGAAUAUUGGACAAUGGGCGAAAGCCUGAUCCAGCCAUGCCGCGUGGGUGAAGAAGGUCUUCGGAUUGUAAAGCACUUUAAGUUGGGAGGAAGGGCAGUAAGUUAAUACCUUGCUGUUUUGACGUUACCAACAGAAUAAGCACCGGCUAACUUCGUG